GUCAACAGUAACCCCUCACUAAAGUAAGGGGCUUGAAAUGAAAGUUUUAAGUCUGCUCACUUUGAUGAGGAUUCUGGAGCAAUCCAGAAUUUGUUGUCUAGACUAAGCAGUCAGCUUCGGCUGACUGGGAAACUACGUUAUUUUAGUCAUCAUACCUUAGGAUGAUGCCCUAGUUCUAAGCUCUAUG
rnacentral:sRNA from 20 species